ensembl:lncRNA
GGAGCAAAAGAAAACACAAAAAUGCAUAGUACAUCAUUCUAUUUAUAUAAAAUAUUGUGUUAGAAGUUAGAUGGUAGUUACUAUAAUGAGUACAUAGUAGCUGCAAGUGGGCAUAGUGUCUGUGAGGAUGUGGAUCCUUAACCCACUGAGUAGGAUCAGGGAGUAAACCCACAUCGUCAUGGAUACUAGUCAAAUUUGUUACCCCUGAACCACAGCAGGUACUCCCCUGGAAUUCUUCUGUAUUGCUGGUGGUAAUGCAAACUGCCACGACCACUUUGAAAAACUGUUUGGCAAUUACUUAUACACAUAGUUAAACACACUUACCAUACGACUUAGUAGUUCCAUGCCUAGGUAUUCCAAGAGAAAUUAAAGCUUGUGCCCUCCCAAAGACUUGUACACAAACUUUUAUAAUGACUUUAUUUGUAAUAGCCAGAAACUGGAAACAGCUGAAAUGUCCACCAUGUGGUAAAUGGAUAAACAAAUUAUUGUACAUCCACACAAUGGACUACUACUCAGCAGUGGAAAGGAACAAACUACUGAUAAACAAACAUGAAUGUAUCUCAAAUGCAUUAUGCUAAGUGAAAGAAGCCAGGCUCAAAAGGCUCCACAUUGUAUGAUGCUAUUUAUAUGACAUUCUGUAAAAACAAAACUAUGGGGAUAAAAAAACAGAUAGGUAGUUGCCAGGAUUUGGGGUUGAGGGUAAGAAGUUGACUACAAAGGCACAUGAGGGAAUUUUAGGGGGUUAAUAAGACUGUUUUAUAUGUUGAUUGGGGUAGUGGUUGCAUGACUUUAAAUAUUUAUCAAAAUUCAGAACAGAAUGCUGAAAAGGAUGACAAAAAAAGUACCCAGAAACUUAGAUACCCAAAACUUAGAUACCAUGUUUAUAGUUACAAUGCUUAAAAUAGUGUUUCCAAUCAUAAGAAAACAUCAGACAAACCCAAACUGAGGGACAUGCUACAAAAUAACUCUUCAAAAGUGUCAAGGUCGUAAAAAAACAAAGACUAAGGAAUUACCACAGAUUGCAAGAGACCAAGAAGACUCAACAAUCUAAGGCAAUGUUGGAUCCUGGACUGGAUCCUGACCUGUAAAAAAAAGUGGUAGUGGACCAUUGGCAAAAUGAGAUUAAGGUCUGUGGAUUAGUUAAUAGUAUUGUGACAAUGUUAGUUUUCUGGCUUCAGUAAUUGCACUAUGAUUAUGUAAUAUGUUACUAUUAGGGAAAGCUGGAUGAGGGAUAUACAGGAACUCUACUAUUUGCAAGUCUAAAGUUUAAGUCUAAAGUUAUUUCAAAUUGAAAAGUUUGAAACCAUUAAUGAUUUCUAUUUAUCAAAAGUUUCCAUGAUAUGAUAAAAAGGCAACCUGCAGAAUGGGAGAAUAUAUUUACAAUAUACAUACCUGACAAAGAAUUCAUUUCCAUAAUAAAGAAGGCUUACAAAUUAACAAUAAAUAUAUAUAUUAUUACUAUAUGCAUUAGAAAAAAAGGACAAAAAUUGUUCGAGUUACUUAACAGAAGAGACACUCUAACUGCCCAAUGAAGAUAAAAGGUGUUCAGUCUCAUUGAUUACCAUGAAUAUGCAAAAUAAAACCAUAAUGAGUGCCACUACGCAUUUAACAGAAUUAUUAUAAUUAAAAGGCUAUGGCGUUCCCUUUGUGGCUCAGGGGGUUAAGGACCCAACAUAGUCUCUGGGAGGAUGCAGGUUCAAUCCUUGGCCUCUCUCACUGGGUUAAGGAUCCGGCAUUGCUGCAAGCUGUGGCAUGGAUCGAAGAUAAAGCUCAGAUCCAGCGUUGCUGUGUCUGUGCUGUGGGCCUGCAGCUGCUGCUGUGGUUCCACCCCUCGCCUGGGAAUUUCCAUAUGCCACAGGUAUGGCCCUAAAAAAGGGGGAAAAGGCCGAUAAUAUCAAGUUCUGGCAAGGAUUUGAAUUAAUACUGAAUUUUCACACCUUUUUGGUGAGAGCAUAAUUUGAAACAAAGUAAAGAUAUUUGUGCCCGGUCCCCCAACAAUUCUGCUCUUCAAUAUACAGAACUAAAAGUACCUGUGUAUUCACCCAAAGUCAUGCACAAAAAUGUGAUAGCAGUACAUAAUAUUGAGGAGCAAAAGGAGGAAAAAUGCAUGUGACAGCAGACAUCAAAACAGUUGUUACCUUUGGGAAGAGGCAGGUGGUGAUAGAGGGGGGAGAUGGUGACUGUGAGGGGGCCUGAGGGGUCGCUGGUCACAUCUAUGUGUUUACUUUGUGAAACUCCAUUGAGCCGUACCCUUACCUGAAUAUGUUAUACUUUAUAAAACAUUUAAUUCUUAAAAUCUUGUGGAAGGCAAAUAACAGAGAAAAAAAUAGAAAUGUUUUCAUAAAACUAAAAGUCCCUUUGUUUUGAAGAAGACAAAAUUGCUCUGUGUAAAGCACUGCUCUGUAUGGGUGAAGAAGACACCUGGGGUAGACCUUUUAAAUGCAGUUAUGAUGUAAAAUCAGAGACUUCUACAUGCUACACCAGUCUCAGCAACAUAAACAAAUGCCAAAGAAGAACAGACAGAAAAUUGAAGAAAACUAGCCAUACAAAUCUGGAGAACCAAAAACAAACAAAAUGUUUCUAAGAAAUCAAAUUGGAGAAGUAAAAAUACAUGUUUUAUAUGAUAAUCAAACCACUCUGCCCAUGGGGAUUUUGGGAAUCUGCCUUCUCAGAAUGAAAGCCACGGGUUACCAUGCAGGGCAAGGAUAAAGGAAGAAAAAGGUACAUUGCAUAACGAAAGGGCAUCAGAAUGAGUAGAAGAUAAUUCCCUUGGACGUGAAAUGCAAUCAAGUCAAGACCCAUAUUUUAUCUCUGCUGGAGGCAGGCUUAUUUGUUAGUAAAGUGCUGGGAUAAUCAACCAUUGUUCUGCCUGCCAAGACUGUCAAAACAAAUACAAGCUUCUUUGCUCAGUGCUAAAAAUGUCUGAGCCUUUAGAGAACAGCUGGGCAAAAAGCAAUCUUGUUCAAUUUCAGCACAUUUUUCCCCAAGUAUUAGGCUGUCCAAAUGCAACCCACAUCAAAGCAUCCCCAACACUCACUGCAGGGACAGACCUGUCAUGCAAACACAGCCUAUCAAACUUGAGCAAGCAGAACGCACAAUGAAACUACUUUAAACUUGUCCAACUCCACGUCUAAAGGAGCAAGGACUUUGAAGCAUAAAAAAGCUACUCUAAACAAAUAAUUUCUUUCAGUUGCUUUCUAUAAUGUUAAAGAAAUAAUGUUGGUCUGCUUGCAAAAUUCUGUGUCUUGAUGAGGCUCUGGGACAUGAGAAAUGUUUCAUGAUGUCUUAGCUCUCUAUACCAGUAUGGCCUAAGGGACACCUUCUCCUGAGCAUUUUCAGAAUUAUUCUCUAGUUUCUAAAUUCAGCUUUUAUCAAAGCAUGCCUUUUUGUGGCUUUGUGAUAUAUAUUAAUUAGGAGUAUAUCAAUUAAGAUGUAUGGGGAUGCAAGUAACAAAAAAUUAAAAAUCAACCCAGCUGACUUAAUAUUUCUUUCAUCAAGUAACAAGAAUCUAGGGUGUAAUGUACAAGAUGGUAACUACAGUUAAUAAAACUAAAUUACAUAUUUGAAAGUCAAUAAGAGAGUAGACCUUAAAAGCUCUCAUUACAAGAAAACAAAAUUUAAACUGUAUAUGGUGGCAGAUGUUAAAUAGACUUAUUUUGACCAUUUGGCAAUAUAUACAACUAUCAAAUCAUUAUGUUGCAUGCCUGAUAUCAAUAUAAUUUAUAGGUCAAUUAUACAUAAAAUUUUUAAAUAAAUAAAUAGAGGAAGUUUCCACUGUGGUGCAGUGGGUUAUAGAUCCAGCAUGGGUUGCAGCUGCAGUUCGGAUUCUACCCCUGGUCCAGGAAACUCCAUAUGCCACGGGUGCAGCCAUACAAAAUUAAUUAAUUAAACAAGAAUCCCAGAGGUAAAGCAGUCCCAGUUGGGUUAACUCAGUAGCUCAAAUGGGUCAUCAAAGGGCCAAUUCUUUGCAUAUUUCAGUUCUCUUAUCCUCAUACUAGGUCCCCUCAUGGUCGUAAUAUGGCUGCAACAGUUCCAAGCAUCGCACCCAGAUACUAAAAUGUUAGAAUAGGAAGUGUUCCUGUGAGUUUCUUUCUAUCAAUGAGAAAAAUAUCCUUGUAGAAGGCAAAGAUUCCUCAUCAUGUUUUAUUGGUCAUAAUUGUGUCAUAUGCCCAUGUCUAAACCAAAAGGGAUCAAUCACAAUACAACCAUUAGACUAAUUUACUUCUAAACACAAGGAUAAGGUGACCUUUCUAGGACUGAUAUGAGGGAGGGAUGGACACCCAAAUAUGUGUGGGAUCCUGCCAGUGAAGAAGGAAGGGGAAUAAGCUGUUAGGUAGGCAACCAUCUGUUUCUGCUAAAAUUAGGAUGCAGGGCAAAAUAUGUUUAGCUAACUAGAUUGAAUUUUGUCUUAGCCAUGGGAUAUGCAGAAAACUUUUUAGGUGGUGACACUGGUUACUGAAAAUUAUUCUAAAAUAUAUUAAUUUCCUUUCUCCCCUGUAAAGGAAUGUAAAGUAGAAUGACACCUUUGGUAACUCCAGGCCAUGACACUCCUCUUCUUCUGCCCUUUGAGAUCUCCUCUUUUAUCCCCAUCCUCAGGUAGGCAGGAGUGAGCCUCGACAUCCAUGUCUGUACAAUGGGCUCCUGAGUCCCUGGCCAUAGAUGAUUGGAGCUGAGGUAUGGACGGUGGACCCCCAACUGGACUGAUCAGCUUCUCUUCCCUAGGAAUUUGGAAUGGAAACACCAUCUGAUUGCAUCAGUUUCUUCAUGUGCUUGGGCCUGUAACACAAAAUCUCCAGAAUGAUUAGGCAACUGUUCUUCUGCCAUUUGGAAUGUGAAGAUAAAGCUGAUAUUUGGGAAAG